AGAACGAACGCUGGCGGCAUGCCUAAUACAUGCAAGUCGAACGAACUCUUCGGAGUUAGUGGCGCACGGGUGCGUAACGCGUGGGAAUCUGCCCCUUGGUUCGGAAUAACAGUUGGAAACGACUGCUAAUACCGGAUGAUGACGAAAGUCCAAAGAUUUAUCGCCAAGGGAUGAGCCCGCGUAGGAUUAGCUAGUUGGUGAGGUAAAGGCUCACCAAGGCAACGAUCCUAGCUGGUCUGAGAGGAUGAUCGAGCCACACGU
rnacentral:rRNA from 1 species